rnacentral:rRNA from 1 species
UACGUAGGGUGCAAGCGUUGUCCGGAAUUAUUGGGCGUAAAGAGCUCGUAGGCGGUUUGUUGCGUCGGCUGUGAAAUCCCGAGGCUCAACCUCGGGUCUGCAGUCGAUACGAGCAAACUAGAGUGUUGCAGGGGAGACUGGAAUUCCUGGUGUAGCGGUGAAAUGCGCAGAUAUCAGGAGGAACACCGGUGGCGAAGGCGGGUCUCUGGGCAACAACUGACGCUGGAGGUGACGAAAGCGUGGGGAGCAAACAGG